GAUGAACGCUGGCGGCGUGCCUAAUACAUGCAAGUCGAGCGAACAGACGAGGAGCUUGCUCCUCUGACGUUAGCAGCGGACGGGUGAGUAACACGUGGAUAACCUACCUAUAAGACUGGGAUAACUUCGGGAAACCGGAGCUAAUACCGGAUAAUAUAUUGAACCGCAUGGUUCAAAAGUGAAAGACGGUUUUGCUGUCACUUAUAGAUGGAUCCGCGCCGCAUUAGCUAGUUGGUAAGGUAACGGCUUACCAAGGCAACGAUGCGUAGCCGACCUGAGAGGGUGAUCGGCCACACUGGAACUGAGACACGGUCCAGACUCCUACGGGAGGCAGCAGUAGGGAAUCUUCCGCAAUGGGCGAAGGCCUGACGGAGCAACGCCGCGUGAGUGAUGAAGGUCUUCGGAUCGUAAAACUCUGUUAUUAGGGAAGAACAAAUGUGUAAGUAACUAUGCACGUCUUGACGGUACCUAAUCAGAAAGCCACGGCUAACUACGUG
rnacentral:rRNA from 1 species